rnacentral:misc_RNA from 1 species
AAGUCGUAACAAGGUUUCCGUAGGUGAACCUGCGGAAGGAUCAUUAUUGAAUGAAUUUAGAGUUGGUUGUUGCUGGCCUCCCUUCUCCGAGGCAUGUGCACACCUUCUCUUUCAUCAACACACACACACACACCUGUGCACUUGUGAGAUGUGGAGGGCUGGAGAUUUUAUUCUCUCAACCCUUCUUCCAUCUGCUAUUACACAAACUCAAUUUAAUUUAAACUGAAUGUAAUUGAUGUUAACACAUCUAAUAUACUAAGUUUCAACAACGGAUCUCUUGGCUCUCGCAUCGAUGAAGAACGCAGCGAAAUGCGAUAAGUAAUGUGAAUUGCAGAAUUCAGUGAAUCAUCGAAUCUUUGAACGCAUCUUGCGCUCCUUGGUAUUCCUUGGAGCAUGCCUGUUUGAGUAUCAUGAAAUUCUCAAAGUAAAUUCUUUUGUUGAUUCAAUUGGUUUUACUUUGGAUUUGGAGGCUUUGCAGAGUUUACAAUCUCUGCUCCUCUUGAAUGUAGUAGCUGGAUCUCUGUGUAUACUUACUUGGUUCCACUCGGUGUGAUAAGUAUCACUCGCUGAGGACACACCUGUAAAAAGGUGGCCAAGGUAUACACAGAUUGAACCGCUUCUAAAUAUAUAUAUUUCAAGAUCUGAUCUCAAAUCAGGUAGGACUACCCGCUGAACUUAA